rnacentral:lncRNA from 1 species
UGGAAUGUUCUAGAAACUGAGGAGGAGAGGAAGGAGUCGGAUCCGUUUUGUGAAAUAAUUUCUCCGGCAACGAAACUUUCUCUUCUUUCACGGCGGAGAUAUCACUCUCAAUCGUAGCUCUGUUAACUUCUUCUCCGUUUAUCUUAGCUUUGAUUUUGCUAAUCUGCAAAACAAAUUCCCAAAUUCAGUAAAAGAAAAAUAAAGUUUCAAUUUUUUAAUGAUUUUUCAGUCUAUAAAAUCGAAUGUUCACCUCUUGGAGAAGGGAAUCGUUGUCGCGGCGGAGGGAAUCGAAAUUGUGGCGGAGAGAGUCGUAUUGGUUCUUGAGAACGCCGUAAUCUUUUUCGAGCUGUUUUGUC